GAUGAACGCUAGCUACAGGCUUAACACAUGCAAGUCGAGGGGCAGCAUUUUGCUUGCAAACGAUGGCGACCGGCGCACGGGUGAGUAACACGUAUCCAACCUGCCGAUAACUCGGGGAUAGCCUUUCGAAAGAAAGAUUAAUACCCGAUGGUAUAAUCAGACCGCAUGGUCUUGUUAUUAAAGAAUUUCGGUUAUCGAUGGGGAUGCGUUCCAUUAGGCAGUUGGUGAGGUAACGGCUCACCAAACCUUCGAUGGAUAGGGGUUCUGAGAGGAAGGUCCCCCACAUUGGAACUGAGACACGGUCCAAACUCCUACGGGAGGCAGCAGUGAGGAAUAUUGGUCAAUGGGCGCAGGCCUGAACCAGCCAAGUAGCGUGAAGGAUGACUGCCCUAUGGGUUGUAAACUUCUUUUAUAUGGGAAUAAAGUUUUCCACGUGUGGAAUUUUGUAUGUACCAUAUGAAUAAGGAUCGGCUAACUCCGUGCCAGCAGCCGCGGUAAUACGGAGGAUCCGAGCGUUAUCCGGAUUUAUUGGGUUUAAAGGGAGCGUAGGUGGACAGUUAAGUCAGUUGUGAAAGUUUGCGGCUCAACCGUAAAAUUGCAGUUGAUACUGGCUGUCUUGAGUACAGUAGAGGUGGGCGGAAUUCGUGGUGUAGCGGUGAAAUGCUUAGAUAUCACGAAGAACUCCGAUUGCGAAGGCAGCUCACUGGACUGCAACUGACACUGAUGCUCGAAAGUGUGGGUAUCAAACAGGAUUAGAUACCCUGGUAGUCCACACAGUAAACGAUGAAUACUCGCUGUUUGCGAUAUACAGUAAGCGGCCAAGCGAAAGCAUUAAGUAUUCCACCUGGGGAGUACGCCGGCAACGGUGAAACUCAAAGGAAUUGACGGGGGCCCGCACAAGCGGAGGAACAUGUGGUUUAAUUCGAUGAUACGCGAGGAACCUUACCCGGGCUUAAAUUGCAUUUGAAUAUAUUGGAAACAGUAUAGCCGUAAGGCAAAUGUGAAGGUGCUGCAUGGUUGUCGUCAGCUCGUGCCGUGAGGUGUCGGCUUAAGUGCCAUAACGAGCGCAACCCUUAUCUUUAGUUACUAACAGGUCAUGCUGAGGACUCUAGAGAGACUGCCGUCGUAAGAUGUGAGGAAGGUGGGGAUGACGUCAAAUCAGCACGGCCCUUACGUCCGGGGCUACACACGUGUUACAAUGGGGGGUACAGAAGGCAGCUACCUGGUGACAGGAUGCUAAUCCCAAAAGCCUCUCUCAGUUCGGAUCGAAGUCUGCAACCCGACUUCGUGAAGCCGGAUUCGCUAGUAAUCGCGCAUCAGCCAUGGCGCGGUGAAUACGUUCCCGGGCCU
rnacentral:rRNA from 1 species